ACGAACGCUGGCGGCGUGCUUAACACAUGCAAGUCGAACGGUAAGGCCUUUCGGGGUACACGAGUGGCGAACGGGUGAGUAACACGUGGGUGAUCUGCCCUGCACUUUGGGAUAAGCCUGGGAAACUGGGUCUAAUACCGAAUAUGACCAUGGGAUGCAUGUUCUGUGGUGGAAAGCUUUUGCGGUGUGGGAUGGGCCCGCGGCCUAUCAGCUUGUUGGUGGGGUGAUGGCCUACCAAGGCGACGACGGGUAGCCG
rnacentral:rRNA from 1 species